GCCGGCUUAGCUCAGUUGGUAGAGCACCGCUCUUGUAAAGCGGGGGUCGUCAGUUCGAGUCUGACAGCCGGCACCA
rnacentral:tRNA from 1 species